UACGUAGGGGGCAAGCGUUGUCCGGAAUCAUUGGGCGUAAAGCGCACGUAGGCGGCUUCUUAAGUCGGUGGUGAAAUCCUGGAGCUCAACUCCAGAACUGCCUUCGAUACUGGGAGCUCGAGUCCGGGAGAGGUGAGUGGAACUGCGAGUGUAGAGGUGAAAUUCGUAGAUAUUCGCAAGAACACCAGUGGCGAAGGCGGCUCACUGGCCCGGUACUGACGCUGAGGUGCGAAAGCGUGGGGAGCAAACAG
rnacentral:rRNA from 1 species